GACAGAGGAUGCAAGCGUUAUCCGGAAUGAUUGGGCGUAAAGCGUCUGUAGGCGGUUUAUUAAGUCUACUGUUAAAGAUCAGGGCUUAACCCUGAGCAGGCAAUAGAAACUAAUAAGCUAGAGUACGGUAGGGGCAGAGGGAAUUCCCGGUGUAGCGGUGAAAUGCGUAGAGAUCGGGAAGAACACCAACGGCGAAAGCACUCUGCUGGGCCGAAACUGACACUGAGAGACGAAAGCUAGGGGAGCAAAUGGG
rnacentral:rRNA from 1 species